GUGUGUGAGUGGCAGUCCCCCAGUGAGGGUCAGUGUGUGUGUGAGAGACACGCCCCCAGUGAGGGUCAGUGUGUGUGAGAGACACGCCCCCAGUGAGGGUCAGUGUGUGUGAGUGGCAGUCCCCCAGUGAGGGUCAGUGUGUGUGAGUGGCAGUCCCCCAGUGAGGGUCAGUGUGUGUGAGUGGCAGUCCCCCAGUGAGGGUCAGUGUGUGUGAGUGGCAGUCCCCCAGUGAGGGUCAGUGUGUGUGAGUGGCAGUCCCCCAGUGAGGGUCAGUGUGUGUGAGUGGCAGUCCCCCAGUGAGGGCAGCAUAUAUGACGUGUGUCUGUCUUUCCCCCAGUGAGGGCCAGGGUUGCAGUGGGAGGAUGUUGUCUGGGACGUGGACAGUUGCUCUCCUUCCCACUGAUGCUGCUAUUCGUGCCCCAAAGUCUGUGUAGCAGCAGUGUUGGGACAAAUCCAGCAUUCCUAUUGGGAAUGCUUGGCUGAUUCUUUGGUCAGUGGGGCAGGGCCCAGAUCUCACUACUAUCUGGUUGGAACACGGUCGAGCCUCCCCCCCUCCCCCCGAGUGUGGGGUUCCAGAGGGUGGGUUUGCCAUUGGCCCUCACUGAGGGAUGGCCCCACAAAAAAAAUCGGGUGGAGGUGAAUGAGGUAGGAUGAGUGGAUGAUCGGGCAGUGAGGUUGGACACCCAUGCGUGAAUGGUUGGUGAGAGGGUGAAUACUGGUGAGAUUGGUCGGACAGUUACUCUGCCAACAGUUCUCCCUGGAACUGAGGGAAGAGGUCUGGACCCGUGUCUGUACCCACUUGUUUUCAUUAAAGUUGGACGGGAGCCCAGUGCA